rnacentral:rRNA from 1 species
UUACUGGGCGUAAGCGCACGUAGGCGGUUACUCAAGUCAGAGGUGAAAGCCCGGGGCUCAACCCCGGAACUGCCUUUGAAACUAGGUGACUGGAAUCUUGGAGAGGCGAGUGGAAUYCCGAGUGUAGAGGUGAAAUUCGUAGAUAUUCGGAAGAACACCAGUGGCGAAGGCGACUCGCUGGACAAGUAUUGACGCUGAGGUGCGAAAGCGUGGGGAGCAAACAGGAUUAGAWACCCCCGUAGUCCA